UUUAUUUGGUGUGUAAUGAUAUUGUCAGUAGUGCAGGAAUUGAACAUUGGUGGCAGUAUGGUGACAGCUGCACUUGAAGAGGCAUGUGGGACAAACAGAUCCAGAAUAAAGGACAUGUACAAUACUUUAGGCGAUCUUGGUGAUGUGGCACAAUUAUGCCGACAGACGCAAUCAUUACUUGUCCCUCCUCCUCCACUUACAAUCCAAGAUGUAUUUUCUGUUCUUCGCAAAAUAAGGUAUUGCAUUUUUGUUUCUAGUUA